UACAGAGGGUGCGAGCGUUAAUCGGAAUUACUGGGCGUAAAGCGUGCGUAGACGGUUAUUUAAGUCGGAUGUGAAAGCCCCGGGCUCAACCUGGGAAUUGCAUUCGAGACUGAAUAGCUAGGGUGCGGUAGAGGGAAGCGGAAUUUCCGGUGUAGCGGUGAAAUUCGUAGAUAUUCGGAAGAACACCAGUGGCGAAGGCGACUUACUGCCCGAUACUGACGCUGAGACACGAAAGCGUGGGAGCAACAGGG
rnacentral:rRNA from 1 species